AUUGAACGCUGGCGGCAGGCCUAACACAUGCAAGUCGAGCGGAUGAGGGAAGCUUGCUUCCCGAUUUAGCGGCGGACGGGUGAGUAAUGCCUAGGAAUCUGCCUAUUAGUGGGGGAUAACGUUCCGAAAGGAACGCUAAUACCGCAUACGUCCUACGGGAGAAAGUGGGGGAUCUUCGGACCUCACGCUAAUAGAUGAGCCUAGGUCGGAUUAGCUAGUGGGUGAGGUAACGGCUCACCAAGGCGACGAUCCGUAGCUGGUCUGAGAGGAUGAGCAGCCACACUGGAACUGAGACACGGUCCAGACUCCUACGGGAGGCAGCAGUGGGGAAUAUUGGACAAUGGGCGAAGGCCUGAUCCAGCCAUGCCGCGUGUGUGAAGAAGGUCUUCGGAUUGUAAAGCACUUUAAGUUGGGAGGAAGAGUUGUAAGCUAAUAUCUUGCAGCUUUGACGUUACCAACAGAAUAAGCACCGGCUAACUCUGUGCCAGCAGCCGCCGUAAAAC
rnacentral:rRNA from 1 species